GACGAACGCUGGCGGCGUGCUUAACACAUGCAAGUCGAACGGUAAGGCCCUUCGGGGUACACGAGUGGCGAACGGGUGAGUAACACGUGGUUGAUCUGCGCUGCACUUCGGGAUAAGCCUGGGAAACUGGGUCUAAUACCGGAUAGGACUCCUGGCUUCAUGGUUGGGGGUGGAACGCUUUUGCGGUGUGGGAUGGGGCCGCGGCCUAUCAGCUUGUUGGUGGGGUAAUGGCCUACCAAGGCGACGACGGGUAGCCGGCCUGAGAGGGUGACCGGUCACACUGGGACUGAGAUACGGCCCAGACUCCUACGGGAGGCAGCAGUGGGGAAUAUUGCACAAUGGGCGCAAGCCUGAUGCAGCGACGCCGCGUGAGGGAUGACGGCCUUCGGGUUGUAAACCUCUUUCAGCUAUGACGAAGCGCAAGUGACGGUAGUAGCAGAAGAAGGACCGGCCAACUACGUGCCAGCCGCCGCCGUAAAAC
rnacentral:rRNA from 1 species